GCGAUGGAUAUGGACUUUCAUGGACAUAGGAAUUGUGGACACAGCAGCUGAAGCUGAGGUCACAUGUGAAGAGAACGAGAUCCCCAGUCUGGCUGAGCAC